rnacentral:rRNA from 1 species
AUUGAACGCUGGCGGCAGGCUUAACACAUGCAAGUCGAGCGGAGAGAGGUAGCUUGCUACUGAUCUUAGCGGCAGACGGGUGAGUAAUGCUUAGGAAUCUGCCUAUUAGUGGGGGACAACAUUUCGAAAGGAAUGCUAAUACCGCAUACGUCCUACGGGAGAAAGCAGGGGAUCUUCGGACCUUGCGCUAAUAGAUGAGCCUGAGUCGGAUUAGCUAGUUGGUGGGGUAAAGGCCUACCAAGGCGACGAUCUGUAGCGGGUCUGAGAGGAUGAUCCGGCACACUGGGACUGAGACACGGCCCAGACUCCUACGGGAGGCAGCAGUGGGGAAUAUUGGACAAUGGGCGGAAGCCUGAUCCAGCCAUGCCGCGUGUGUGAAGAAGGCCUUAUGGUUGUAAAGCACUUUAAGCGAGGAGGAGGCUACUUUAGUUAAUACCUAGAGAUAGUGGACGUUACUCGCAGAAUAAGCACCGGCUAACUCUGUGCCAGCCGCCGCGGUAACAC